rfam:Aedes aegypti strain Liverpool supercont1.1092 genomic scaffold, whole genome shotgun sequence.
GGCUCAGUUGCUUAUUUGGUAAAGCACUCGUCCAGCAUACAAGAGUCGUGGGUUAGAAUCCUACUUGAGUAC